rnacentral:rRNA from 1 species
GAAGGCCCCACUGUCUUAAGAGAAUUCCCAGUGAAAUUGAAUUCGUAGUGAAGAUGCUACGUCCAAUUUGUUAGACGAAAAGACCCCAUUGAGCUUUACUGGAGACUUACAUUGCUCGGAUCGACUCUCGCCCCCAGGGGGGGGGUCGAAUUUAAAUGGAUAGCUUAGAUUAUGUGGUGUCAUAACCAUCGAUCAAGUAGUCCCUACGGGAUUGCCCCGAAGGUAGACCUGUUUGGGUGAAUGAAACCCCACUCUUUUAUGUUAAAUGAGCUAACCCUUUCUCUCUUAAGGGGGACAAUGUAAGUUGGACAGUUUGGUUGGGGCGACCGCCUUUUAAAGAGUAACGAAGGUGUGCUUAAGGUACACAAUUAAUAUCAGUAGCCUGACUGCGAGGGGGAUUCCCCCGAGCAGACACCUAAAGUCUUCUCUCUUCCUCCCCGAAGGUUAAAGACGAAUGGUGGGUUAUAGUGACCCGUUAAUUUAGAGUGGAAUAGUUAACGAUCAACAAAUAAAA